rnacentral:rRNA from 1 species
UACGGUGGUUAUAGCGAAGGGGAAACACCUGUUCCCAUCCCGAACACAGAAGUUAAGCCCUUCAGCGCCGAUGGUACUGCAUUGGAGACGGUGUGGGAGAGUAGGACGCCACCGUAU